AAAAACAUAAUUUUGAACUGAUGGGAAAAUCGUAUUUUUAAGGGGAAAAAACUAAUGGCAAAACUGUAAAUUGAAACGGGGCAAAAUCGUAAUUUUUUAACCGGGGGUAAAUUUGAAAUAUUUAGCUGGGAGCAAAAGCGUAAAUUUAUUUUUAAGCGGGGGCGAAAACAUAAGUUUGGACUGAUGACAAAAUCGUAAUUUUAAAUCUGGAUAAAAUCGUAAUUUUGUUGGGCCAAUAGGGGAGUGCCAGGCAGCUGCCUGGCACUAUUACCCCUGCCGCCCUUUUUGCCCAAUUGAAGGGCUGAACUAUUACCGGCUGACGUCACCAACUUAUGUUUGUAGUAGUUUAAAUAUCGCGAUACAUCGGUAAUAUAUAUCAGUGAUAUAUCAGUUAUCGGUCCCCCAGUGAGAUAUCGGUACCGAUAUUAUCGGCGAUAUUGAUCGAUAUAUCACCGACUUUCCCAAUAGCAUUACCUUUCUUCUUAGGUCUACCAUACGUCUUUCUUCUUAUUGCUGCUAUUAGUGUUUUUUUGUCAUAAUUGUACAAUUGUUAGUGUUUUGCAAUUUGCAAUUUGCAAAGGGUUAAUUUGUUAAUUGCAGGAGAGUAUACUGAAUUGUUAGUGUUAAAUUGUUAUAUAUAUUAAUUCUGCAUAAUAUUAAUAUUACCGAAAUGGUCAAAAAGAUAUCGGUAAUUUUAAUAUAAUGCAGAAUUUUUAUAUAUACAUAUAUAUAUAUAUAGCAAUUUAACACCAAUUAUUCAGUGAUAUAUCGGUUAUAUCGGUCAAAUAUGGGUGAUAUAUCGGUUAUCGGUCAAAUAUCGGUGAUAUAUCAGUUAUAUCGGUCAAAUAUCGGUGAUAUAUCGGUUAUAUCGGUCAAUAUCACCGAUAAUAUCGGUACUGAUAUUUUGACCGAUAUUUGACACCGAUAUUUUACUAAGGGUCCGAUAUGACCGAUGUAACCGAUAUAUCACCGAUAUAUCAACGAUAUUA
rnacentral:lncRNA from 1 species